UACGUAGGCAGCAAGCGUUGUUCGGAGUUACUGGGCGUAAAGAGUGCGUAGGUGGUGCCCUAAGUCUGUUGUGAAAUCUCCCGGCUUAACUGGGAGGGUGCGGUGGAAACUGGGGUGCUUGAGUGUGGGAGAGGUAAGCGGAAUUCCUGGUGUAGCGGUGAAAUGCGUAGAUAUCAGGAGGAAUACCUAUGGCGAAGGCAGGUUACUGGGCCAUCACUGACGCUGAGCUGCGAAAGCUAGGGGAGCAAACAGG
rnacentral:rRNA from 1 species